rnacentral:rRNA from 1 species
AGAGUUUGAUCCUGGCUCAGAUUGAACGCUGGCGGCAGGCCUAACACAUGCAAGUCGAGCGGUAACAUUUCAAAAGCUUGCUUUUGAAGAUGACGAGCGGCGGACGGGUGAGUAAUGCCUAGGGAACUGCCCAGUCGAGGGGGAUAACAGUUGGAAACGACUGCUAAUACCGCAUACGCCCUACGGGGGAAAAGAGGGGAUCUUCGGACCUUCUGCGAUUGGAUGUACCUAGGUGGGAUUAGCUAGUAGGUGAGGUAAUGGCUCACCUAGGCGACGAUCCCUAGCUGUUCUGAGAGGAUGAUCAGCCACACUGGGACUGAGACACGGCCCAGACUCCUACGGGAGGUAGCAGUGGGGAAUAUUGCACAAUGGGCGCAAGCCUGAUGCAGCCAUGCCGCGUGUGUGAAGAAGGCCUUCGGGUUGUAAAGCACUUUCAGCGAGGAGGAAAGGUUAACGGUUAAUACCCGUUAGCUGUGACGUUACUCGCAGAAGAAGCACCGGCUAACUUCGUGCCAGCAGCCGCGGUAAUACGAGGGGUGCAAGCGUUAAUCGGAAUUACUGGGCGUAAAGCGUACGCAGGCGGUUGAUUAAGCGAGAUGUGAAAGCCCCGGGCUUAACCUGGGAACUGCAUUUCGAACUGGUCAACUAGAGUCUUGUAGAGGGGGGUAGAAUUUCAGGUGUAGCGGUGAAAUGCGUAGAGAUCUGAAGGAAUACCGGUGGCGAAGGCGGCCCCCUGGACAAAGACUGACGCUCAGGUACGAAAGCGUGGGGAGCAAACA